rnacentral:lncRNA from 1 species
AUGGUGGUCAUCCCUCCUCCCAAAGGGAAGCGCAGUCCUCCCCUCCUCAUCCUGCGUUCAGGGUCCUGUUUCCGUCCCUGUGGGUGGAGCUUACCUGGCGCCCGGGGCUCCUCCUUCCAUCCCCCUGCCCCCAGCGCGUCCUUUCUCAGCGCUCCUCCGAGGGGUGUCCCCGCGGCCCGGGGGGCGCGUCGCAGCGCCAGCGAGCGGGGCGCACGGCAGGGCAGGCGGCACGCCGGGGUCCCCGCCCCGCCCCGCUCCCGGCGGGACACUGUCCCUUUAAUAGACUCCCUCUGCCUGGCGCUCUGCGGCUGGGGAGUAAAUUUCUCCCUGUCAUCAGGUCGCGGGGAGAGGAGGAGGAGUUUGUUAAUGUUCAGUUUGUUCAGCGGGAUCGAUGUUUGCUGGCAUCGCCUCGCCCUGUCUUGUAGACGGGGAUCUGACAGCAGCCACAACCCGACAGUGAGAGAUCUCUCUGCCCCCGGCGCGAAUCCGCCAUCGAGCCCGGCGAGGAAGAGGAAGACGAGGAGGUGGAGGUGCAGGAGGCCAGGAGGAGAAGGAAGGAGCGAAAGAGGACCCCACUACCUUCCCAGGAUUGUUUGUGUGUUGUUUUUUUUUUUUUUCCUUAUCUUUACGCGCGCGUGUGCGUCCCUCGUCCCUUCCAUCCGAACCCGCUCUUGGAUGUUUAAUAAAGAAAUCAAGUGUCUCAACAGUCACCAAAAAAAAAAACCAACAAAAAAAAAACCAAACCAAAAAAAAAAAAAUUUCCAAAAAGCAAAAACAAAAAGAGAGAGGAGAAAAAACAAAAACAAAAAAUCCAAAACCAAACAAACAAACAAACAAGGCAGAACCAACCUCUACUUCAAACCAGCCGGCACAGCCACCCGUGUCUUGCCUGCCACGCAGAGAGGGGGGUCUCCGGCCCCCGGUGGAGGAGUUGCAGGGACAGGGGGACAGAGGCCGAGUGACGCCCUGGGAGCCACCGGGCAGGAGGCGGAGGAGACCCGGAGAGGCGAGCGAGACAGCGGGCCCCCGCGCGCGGCGGCUCGGGGCUGGGGCGCCAGAAGUGGGACUGGAGCGAACUAG